rnacentral:rRNA from 1 species
GAUCAUGGCUCAGGAUGAACGCUAGCGACAGGCUUAACACAUGCAAGUCGAGGGGCAGCACAGGUAGCAAUACCGGGUGGCGACCGGCGCACGGGUGAGUAACGCGUAUGCAACUUACCUAUCAGAGGGGGAUAACCCGGCGAAAGUCGGACUAAUACCGCAUGAAGCAGGGGUCCCGCACGGGGAUAUUUGCUAAAGAUUCAUCGCUGAUAGAUAGGCAUGCGUUCCAUUAGG